rnacentral:tRNA from 1 species
UUAAUUAAAACCAAAAAGAGGUAUGUUACUGUUAAUAACAUUAUUGAAUUUUUUUAUAUUCUAAUUAAA